rnacentral:rRNA from 1 species
UGCAGUCGAACGAUGAUGCCCAGCUUGCUGGGUUGAUUAGUGGCGAACGGGUGAGUAACACGUGAGUAACCUGCCCCUGACUCUGGGAUAAGCGUUGGAAACGACGUCUAAUACUGGAUAUGAUCACUGGCCGCAUGGUCUGGUGGUGGAAAGAUUUUUUGGUUGGGGAUGGACUCGCGGCCUAUCAGCUUGUUGGUGAGGUAAUGGCUCACCAAGGCGACGACGGGUAGCCGGCCUGAGAGGGUGACCGGCCACACUGGGACUGAGACACGGCCCAGACUCCUACGGGAGGCAGCAGUGGGGAAUAUUGCACAAUGGGCGAAAGCCUGAUGCAGCAACGCCGCGUGAGGGAUGACGGCCUUCGGGUUGUAAACCUCUUUUAGUAGGGAAGAAGCGAAAGUGACGGUACCUGCAGAAAAAGCACCGGCUAACUACGUGCCAGCAGCCGCGGUAAUACGUAGGGUGCAAGCGUUGUCCGGAAUUAUUGGGCGUAAAGAGCUCGUAGGCGGUUUGUCGCGUCUGCUGUGAAAUCCCGAGGCUCAACCUCGGGCUUGCAGUGGGUACGGGCAGACUAGAGUGCGGUAGGGGAGAUUGGAAUUCCUGGUGUAGCGGUGGAAUGCGCAGAUAUCA